rnacentral:lncRNA from 1 species
UCUCACCAAGAAUAGCUAGUGACUGCAUGCCAACCCCUGAUUCUAUGAGAAUAAGCUUCCCCUAUGGCUGAAUAUAACAGAGAAUUUCCACUGAUGCCAUUGCUUGAAGGGAGGCUUGGAGGCCGAGAAGAAGGAAGUGAUUCCAGAAAGGUAUCACCAUUCCUCAGUUACGAAACCCAAGUGAGACCACAAUAUCCUGACUUCCAGUCUAGAGCUAUCUGUAAUGCAAUAAAUCUCUUCACAGGAGCAUAUACACUGGGAACGGGAACUCUCACAGGAGAUUCUCUCCCUUGUUGAUUGGAAAAAGCCAGCUGCCAUGUUGUGAGUAUCCCAUUUAAAAGGGCUAUAUGGCAAGGAACCGAGGGCAGCCUUCAGCUGACAGCCAGCAAGAAACCAAGAUCCUCAGUCUGGUAGCUUGCAAGGCACUGAAUUCUGCCAACAACUGCGUGAGCUUGGAAGUGGAUCCUUCCUCAGUUAAGCCUUGGACAAGACCCAAGCCCUGUUGGACGCUUUAAUUACAGCCUUGCAGAGAACCCAGCUAAGGCAUGUUCAGACCUGAUCCACAGAAACUGUGAGAUAAUCCAUGUGUGUUGUUUUAAGCCUCUAAGUGUGUGGUAAUUUGUUACACAGCACUGGUUAGCUAACACAGAUACCUAGACAGCUGGUAAAGCAUUAUUUCUGGAUGUGUCUGUGAGGGUGUUUCUGGAGGAGAUUGGCAUGUGAGUCAGUGAACUCUGUGGGCAAGAGCUGCCCUCAAUGUAGGUGGGCACCAUCCAAUGUUGUUUUGUUGUAUCUAGGGGCCCAGAUAAAACAAAAAGGCAGAGGAAAGGUGAAUUCACUCUCUCUCUCCUGAAGCUGGGGUACUUUUAUCUCUUGCCCUUGGACAUCAGAACUCCAGGUUCUCUGGCCUUUGGACUCUGGGACUUGCACCAGCUCCCGGCUUCUCAGGACUUCAGCCUCAGAUUGAGAGUCACUCCAUUAACUUUCCUGGUUUAAAAGCCUUUAUACUUGGACUGAGAAACACCAACAGCUUCCCUGGGCUUCCAACUUGCAGAUGACCUAUCACAGGACUUCUCAGCCUCCAUAAUCGCAUGAGCCAAUUCUCCUAAUAAGUCCCCUUUCACAUAUCUAUUUAUCUACAUACGUAUAUCCUACUGGUUCUGUCUUUCUCAGGAACCCUGACCAAUAUAGUAUGUAUCUCUAAAAGAUAAGGACAUCAAAAAAUAUUACCGCGUCUAAAAAUAAAGUGAUUUCUUAACGUCAUGAAAUAUCCAAUUGCUCUCCAAAUUUUCACAAUUACAAAAGUCCACAUGUUGCAUUUAAUUUUAAUGCCUCUUAAUUCUCCCUUAAUUUUGAGAUUGCCUUUUAAGUAAGGCAGUUUAGCUCCCUAGUUUCACUCUAGCCCAUCCAAGGUGUUUCCAAAAACCUCACCUUCACACUAACCACAUCCAUUAUAAGCUGCUUCUUAAACGAUGAGAGCUCUCACUCUCUAAAAGGAAUUCUAAGCAUACCUCUUAAAGUAAUAACAUAUUAUAUCUCUACUAAGUUUAUAAUCAUAAAGAAUGUGGGUAUUUGCAUUCUCAUUUUACAGAUGGGAAAAUUAGUGUAGGUAACACAUAUAGAGAGGUGAUAAAUAGCAAUGGUUUCCAAGAAUGAUGACGAUUUCAGUGUGAAACAGAGAGUAGCAAUGGCAAGAGAUACAGCUAAGUAAAUGUGGAUGGUGAGGGACCCAUUCUGCCUUGUUAAAAGGUUUGAACCCACCCUAUAGACAAUAAAUCACUCAGUGAAUCACUGAGCAAUUUUAAUUAUGGAAGCAAUGUGAUCAGAUUUAUAUUUAAGGCAAGAGGAUUGGUGGCAAUGUAGAAGGCAAACACAAGUCAGAAAGAGUUAGAAGUAAGAAAAGUGAGUAGUCUGAAGAAAUUGGACACAUAAGAGAUGAGGGGGCUGGAAUGACUAACUAUGCAUCUUAUUCUGAAAUAUGUCUCUUAGGUAAUUGAUUAUUGAUACCCCACAUCCAAAUAGUGGGACAGUUAACUGAGAUGUCAGAGCCAGCCUUUUCAACACUUCUAGAGAGAAAUUUUGCAAAGACACAUCUCUUGUACCUCCAUGGACUUUUAAUACAGAUAUGUUUAUCAUAAGAUAACCUUCUAAAGAGCUCAUGAUAGCAUAUGAUCAAACUCCUUAUUGUACAGUCAGGAGGAAUCAGCCUUGUUGAAGGAAGGGGCUUACCCAAAGUUACAAGUUGGGACAAAAUUUUUGCUUCCAAUUCACUGCUGUUCUUACUAGAACUGUUUUCUCCAGUCUCAUAGAAGUUCUGAGAAACAAUUAGGCCCACACUAUCAUCAACAGGCAAAUAUGUGUGCCUGACCAGACAGACAGAGAGGUAUUUUGAGAGAGGCCAGGAAUGAAACUGGUGAAGAGGCCCAGAGUUUCAAUCCUGUUCUCACUCAAGAUUCAUCAUCAUCAUCAUCUUUACUAUAAGGAAGAGGGCAUUUAAAAGCACAAAUGAGAUUGUUAGUGAUAAAAAGGUACUUAUACACCAGCCAAUUCCAUCCUCCAUUUUGCUGAGGCUCAAAGAGGUACAGUGACUUAUCUUCGGUUAUGUAUGCAACUAUUGCAGAGCUGGAUAUUGGACUUAGGCCUCCUGAAGCCCAGCACUGUGCCUGCAGGAGCAUUCCCAACUCCUGUCUUUCUGCUCAAUACAUGGGGAAGAGACGAACAAUUUAGGCUACUCAAAAUGUGGUGGGCAUUUGGGCUCUGGGGAGAGCUUCAGCAUCUCUUCUCUCUUUUCAUGUUCUCCAACUCCUCAAGCAACAUACACACAUAGCAUAAAGAUCACUAGCCAGCUAUUUUCUGUCUUGAAAAAUUUUUAUGAUAAGAGUUUUCUAAUUAGGGAAAGCCACAGUUCAUACACAAAACACAAAUUACUAGGCUCUUUGUCUUUUUCAGAAGAAGUAUUAAUCCAUAAAUAAAUAUACUCUGUUGCCAAGUCACUACCAUGCUGUAUCACAUGGCCAAAGGAUGCCAAAAGGUAUGAGCUCUUGGUGAAUCCCAGCUAUUGACAGCCAGGUGCUGGACCUUAACCAGAGGCAUUGCUAUAGGUGGUUAAGUAUAUGGGCUCUGGUCAGUGGUGACAAAGUUCCUGGGUUCAAAUCCCAACACCCCCAGUUACUAGUUAUGUGACCUUGGACAAGUUGAUUAAAAUCUCUGUACUUCAACUCCUUUAUUUGUAAUAUGGAAAUGAUUUUUUAAAUUACCUAUCUUCUGGGUCUAUUGCAAAAUUAUCUUAUUUAAUAAUAAGAUAAUCCACUUAAGGCACUAUAUGUGAGUUUUUGCAUGUAGUGAGCACUUGAACCAAUAGAGUAUAUUUCCUUUUGAAUGUAAGAAAUUCACAGAGACAGCUUCUCUAUAGUAAAGGUAAGAAUCAAAACUGAGUUUCUAUAAAUUACUUUGUAUUGCUUAGAGAAAGAAGUCAUGGCAAUAGAUUGAAUAUAUUUUAAUUUAAAGUAGAAAAUUAUAUAGGAAAAAUAGAUAUAUCUUCCAGAGCUCAGUCUCAAAGGCCACAUUUUCUUUUGAGUAUUUUAACCUCCAAAACAUACUUAGUAUGUGGUGAAAUUGCCUACUUCUGGGUUGAGUAAUGUGAGCUAUCAUUACCAUGGUAACAACAAGGCCAAUAACUUGAACUCCAGUCAUAGUAGCUACAAUAAAGGGGACUCAGUUUGGAAAUAAUUAGAAUCCAUCCUUUUUGAGACUGAAAUUCAUUGCCUUUAAGACUCAAUCAACAUUCCUGGUGGUAGUCUGGAAUCAGCUCAAAUCAAGAUACAUCUAUCUUUAAAAAGAAUAUAGGACAAGAAAUCCAAAAUAGGAAAAAAAUCAAAUCAUCUUAUCUUUCUGGUGCAUUUACUAGUCUGAUGAGUCAUAAGAAAAUAAUAACCCAGAGGUUAGAAACAAAGACAUAAGCACAAUUCCUUUCAUUCCAUGGGUAAAAUUGAA